rnacentral:rRNA from 1 species
UACAGAGGUCCCGAGCGUUGUUCGGAUUCAUUGGGCGUAAAGGGUGCGUAGGCGGCGGGGAAAGUCUGAUGUGAAAUCCUGGGGCUCAACCCUGGAACUGCAUUGGAUACUUCCUUGCUAGAGUACUGGAGAGGAAACUGGAAUUUACGGUGUAGCAGUGAAAUGCGUAGAGAUCGUAAGGAAGACCAGUGGCGAAGGCGAGUUUCUGGACAAUUACUGACGCUGAGGCACGAAGGCCAGGGGAGCAAACGGG